rnacentral:sRNA from 1 species
AUACUACACAUGUCGUGUGGGUGAGAUCCUGCGUUCAGGUUCGAGCCGAGCGAAGCGAGACAGCAACGCGUCAGCGUUGACCCGAAGGGCGAGGCCAGAGGCCGAGUCAUCCCGCACGACCCACCA